rnacentral:rRNA from 1 species
GACGAACGCUGGCGGCGCGCCUAAUACAUGCAAGUAGAACGCACAGUUUAUACCGUAGCUUGCUACACCAUAAACUGUGAGUUGCGAACGGGUGAGUAACGCGUAGGUAACCUGCCUGGUAGCGGGGGAUAACUAUUGGAAACGAUAGCUAAUACCGCAUAAUAUUGAUUAUUGCAUGAUAAUUGAUUGAAAGAUGCUAUUGCAUCACUACCAGAUGGACCUGCGUUGUAUUAGCUAGUAGGUGAGGUAACGGCUCACCUAGGCGACGAUACAUAGCCGACCUGAGAGGGUGAUCGGCCACACUGGGACUGAGACACGGCCCAGACUCCUACGGGAGGCAGCAGUAGGGAAUCUUCGGCAAUGGACGAAAGUCUGACCGAGCAACGCCGCGUGAGUGAAGAAGGUUUUCGGAUCGUAAAGCUCUGUUGUAAGAGAAGAACGGGUGUGAGAGUGGAAAGUUCACACUGUGACGGUAUCUUACCAGAAAGGGACGGCUAACUACGUG